GAAAGCAUAACACGCCUUUGUGGCACUGCAUGAAAAUUUCUUGCAGCAUAGCUUAAAGAAGACAACCAAAGGCGUGAUGAGCAGCUGUGAGGACAUCAAACAAUUCUGCCUCCUACUGAAGAAAUACUAGAGAAUUUCUUUGUGUUGAGUCCUCGCUGCCUCUUGAGGUGCUGAAUCUUAGCCUGAAGCUACAUGCUACACAGUCCAUUCAUCAAAACCAUGACCCUCUUCAGUCAGGGACAGGAUGCUAUGGACUAAUGAACUCAGUGCAAGCUUUCCCAGAAGAAACUGGAUCCAUGAUGCAAUUGGAAAAUAAAAAAAGAUAUGAGGUUCAGCUCAGCCUUGUAACUCUGUUGCAAUCCAUGCCUGCGAACUGAUAGCUUCCAGAAAUAGAGCCC
rnacentral:lncRNA from 1 species